GCUUCUAUAGGAUAAUAGUCUAUCCAUUGGUCUUAGGAACCAAAAACUCUUGGUGCAAAUCCAAGUAGUAGCU
rnacentral:tRNA from 1 species